rnacentral:rRNA from 1 species
GGGCCCGCACAAGCAGCGGAGCAUGUGGUUUAAUUCGAAGCAACGCGAAGAACCUUACCAGGUCUUGACAUCCAGUAAAAGCAUAAGAGAUUAUGUGUGCUUUCGGGCAUACUGAGACAGGUGGUGCAUGGUUGUCGUCAGCUCGUGUCGUGAGAUGUUGGGUUAAGUCCCGCAACGAGCGCAACCCUUGCCAAUCGUUACUAACGCGUAGAGGCGAGGACUCAAUUGGGACCGCCGGGGACAACUCGGAGGAAGGUGGGGACGACGUCAAAUCAUCAUGCCCCUUAUGACCUGGGCUACACACGUGCUACAAUGGCCGAGACAAAGAGGAGCGAGGGCGCAAGCCGGAGCGGAUCUCAAAAAAGCGGUCACAGUUCGGAUUGUGGGCUGCAACCCGCCCACAUGAAGCAGGAGUUGCUAGUAAUCGCGAAUCAGCAUGUCGCGGUGAAUACGUUCCCGGGCCUU